GCGGCAGCGGAAAGUAGCUUGCUACUUUGCCGGCGAGCGGCGGACGGGUGAGUAAUGUCUGGGAAACUGCCUGAUGGAGGGGGAUAACUACUGGAAACGGUAGCUAAUACCGCAUGACCUCGAAAGAGCAAAGUGGGGGAUCUUCGGACCUCACGCCAUCGGAUGUGCCCAGAUGGGAUUAGCUAGUAGGUGAGGUAAUGGCUCACCUAGGCGACGAUCCCUAGCUGGUCUGAGAGGAUGACCAGCCACACUGGAACUGAGACACGGUCCAGACUCCUACGGGAGGCAGCAGUGGGGAAUAUUGCACAAUGGGCGCAAGCCUGAUGCAGCCAUGCCGCGUGUGUGAAGAAGGCCUUAGGGUUGUAAAGCACUUUCAGCGAGGAGGAAGGCAUCAUACUUAAUACGUGUGGUGAUUGACGUUACUCGCAGAAGAAGCACCGGCUAACUCCGUGCCAGCAGCCGCGGUAAUACGGAGGGUGCAAGCGUUAAUCGGAAUUACUGGGCGUAAAGCGCACGCAGGCGGUUUGUUAAGUCAGAUGUGAAAUCCCCGCGCUUAACGUGGGAACUGCAUUUGAAACUGGCAAGCUAGAGUCUUGUAGAGGGGGGUAGAAUUCCAGGUGUAGCGGUGAAAUGCGUAGAGAUCUGGAGGAAUACCGGUGGCGAAGGCGGCCCCCUGGACAAAGACUGACGCUCAGGUGCGAAAGCGUGGGGAGCAAACAGGAUU
rnacentral:rRNA from 1 species